AACGUAGGAGGCGAGCGUUAUCCGGAUUUACUGGGCGUAAAGCGUGUGUAGGCGGUUUGAUAAGUUGGAUGUGAAAGCUCCCGGCUCAACCGGGAGAGGUCGUUCAAAACUAUCAGACUAGAGAGUGGUAGAGGGAGGUGGAAUUCCGCGUGUAGUGGUGAAAUGCGUAGAUAUGCGGAGGAACACCAGUGGCGAAAGCGGCCUCCUGGCCCAUUUCUGACGCUCAGACACGAAAGCUAAGGUAGCAAACGGGAUUAGAUACCCGUGUAGUCCCUGA
rnacentral:rRNA from 1 species